UACGGAGGUGGCAAGCGUUACUCGGAUUCAUUGGGUGUAAAGGGCAGGUAGGUGGCUUGAUAAGUGGAAGGUGAAAUCCCGUUGCUCAACAGCGGAACUGCCUUUCAAACUAUCGGGCUUGAGAUUGGAAGAGGAGAAUGGAAUUCCCGGUGUAAGGGUGAAAUCUGUAGAUAUCGGGAAGAACACCAGUGGCGAAAGCGAUUCUCUAGUCCAAAUCUGACACUGAGCUGCGAAAGCUAGGGGAGCAAACAGG
rnacentral:rRNA from 1 species